rnacentral:rRNA from 1 species
UACAGAGGUCUCAAGCGUUGUUCGGAUUCAUUGGGCGUAAAGGGUGUGUAGGUGGCGCCGUAAGUCAGGUGUGAAAUCUCGGGGCUUAACUCCGAAACUGCAUUUGAUACUGCGGUGCUUGAGGACUGGAGAGGAGACUGGAAUUCACGGUGUAGCAGUGAAAUGCGUAGAUAUCGUGAGGAAGACCAGUGGCGAAGGCGGGUCUCUGGACAGUUCCUGACGCUGAGGCGCGAAGGCCAGGGGAGCAAACGGG